GGACUCAAUCUUUGAGUAUAAGCUUUUGGCUCCUGGGCAGUGUCCUUGGGUUGUUUCUGACACUUCACUUUGGCUUUUCUGUGUGCGUGUGCGUUUGUUGUCUGGCCUGGUGUAAGCAGGUCGUGACCGACCCUUUCUUCUUUACAGCUUAGUGUUAUUCUGGCAUUUGGUUAAGCUGGCUUAAUCUGUUUAAUGUUAUCAGUGCAUUUUAAAUAGAGGCAUUGAAGUUCACUCCCACCACUAGGGCUUUUUCGGGGGUACCUGGACCUUAAACACUAGCCAAACUCCAAGUCUCAAGUUACCGCCAGGAGUUUUCUCCUGUGGCCCAGGUCCCAAGGUCUCCUUCCUAGGGUCAUGAAGAGAGGAAAAAUAGCAACUCAGGGCCUGGGAACUGUGGGGAAAUCUGUUCUUAGGGAUGGGAUGGCUCUGACUGGCUGAGCACAGUGCUGCCUGCCUUCCCCAGCAGGUUCUGAGCAGUGCCUGAGACACUGCUCUGCAGGGCCAAGGGAUAGGCCUGGAUGUGGUGGUGGCUUGCCCCUCUGUUUCCACUGAAUAGCUUGUUCUAAGGGGAGAGGAAGGGGGAAGAGAUCACAACUGGGUGAGGGGAGUGGGGGUGUCAGGGAGGCAAGUGUGUUGUGUUACUGUGUCAAUAAACUGAUUUAAAGUUGUGCUUGGUCUGUUCUUUUUUCCUGUACCAGGACCAACUUCUUACCACUAUCUUUUGAGUCCAGAGCCAAACUUACAUGCUUCUUGGAAAAAGCUGCAAUGUCAUAGGGCAAAUAAGCUGGCAAAGUCUCUGGGGCCACAUUACACUGUGAAGUGUGGAGUUGCUAGGAGUCUGGGAUGUGCUGGAGGAGUCCCCUGGAGAGACAGAAGGGAAGAAUCAGGAAGACUGAAAUUAAACCCAACAGAGCAACGCCAAUGGAACAAAAUCUGAACAGCAACGUGCCCCUCCAGCCCGGGCUUCUAGCUUGCCCCAACCUGCUCCCAAGGGGAGGGCUGAGCACCAAGGCAAGCGGGCGGGCUGGGGCAGGAGGGGAGGGGACAGGGCUGGGAGGGGCUUGGUCCCAGGAGGGGCCCACAUUGGGAUCACUGGAAAGCUUCCUGGGAUGCCCUAGCAAUAAAACAAAUGACAGAGGCCCAGAAUUAUGGGGCCAGCUAGCUGCCCAGUUGAAUCUUGGGGGCAUCAGAGUAGACAUUGGGAUAGUGACAGGGUAUGUGUGGGUAGCAAGAGAGGUGAGGGGGCCUCAAAGCCUAUAUCCAGUCCUCUAGCCCUUCUGCAGUCUUCACUCCCAACUCCUGAAGCUAAGUCCCACCCCGGCCCUGGAGCCUGGAGAGGAGAUUCAAGAAAAGGACCACUUCAUUUCGCAGGGUGCCCUCUUGGCCUUGUGUGUGUAGUCCUUUGACCUUGAGAUGUAUGGAGAGUGGGUAAGAGCAGGAAACAUCAUACAUGUACACAUACAUGUAUAAGGUAGGGCAAGGGGUAAUGGGAACUGGCACGCCUUAAAUAGGAAGAAGCAGGUAUGGACCCUAGAGCAGCUCUCAGCCUGUUGUCCUUCCUGGGAGGGCCUGGCAGGGGUGGCUGAGAGAGGCUUGGUCUGGUGCCUAGGUCCCUGGCAGCAACCCUGCCCAGCUUUUGUGUGUGGCAUGGGGCUCCUCGCUGUGUCUUCUCCCUCUGAGUAUGUCACAGAUGAUGUUCCUUUCAGGGAGAGAGGCUGGAGGUGGACAGAGAACUCUGUCCUUGCUUGGCACAGGGCAAGGAUCGUCACAGCUACUGCCUGUUACUGGUGUGUGUGUGGGCAGCUCCUACUCUUUAAGGGAGACCGCUAUGUUUUUUAAAGGGAAAAAUAAAAAAAAUCAGCUGUUUCCUUCUGCAGAACCUAAAGCUGCCCUGUGAAUACAGAAGUUCCUCCUCUAUGUUACAAAAUAAAGUGGAAAGGGCAGGAACGUGGAUGAGUAAGGAAAUUGCUCCAGCGGUUUCUUUACACUAUGUACAGAGCACGCUACAGGCCAGUGGCACAGAUACAAAACACAGUAAAAAAUAAACAGGAAUAGAGAUGGGCGCAUGGGUCCACCCCACAGGAGCCUGGAGUGCAAAAUCAGGCUGAAAUUUGGUCACCCUCUUGGGAAGGUGGCCCAGGUCAGGUGGGUGAAGGUGUCCACGCCAGCAACUUCCAUGAAUGGAAGGGAGGUGACUGCUCAGGGCACUGCCUGCCGGGGCAGCAGAGGGAAUGAGGGCUCAGGGAGGCUGUCUGGGGCCCUGAAAACAGGCAUAAAAUGGUUGGGGGGGGGGCCCUCGGGACCCAACUUUAAAUAAAACAAAGACAUGGAAACCUAGAGGAAGGUCUGUGGGUUACAGAGGAGCUCCAGUUCUUGGAAACUACCCUCUCUGGGAAUUGUGCUUACUGGCCCCACCUCUCCAUUCUCAGAUUAAGUUAGAGCCACUUUCCUGCUCUUCAGCUCUCUUCUUGCACUCUGGCUGCAAAGCACCCUUCUUUAGCCUAGGCUGGUGUCUGUUGGUCUUUCUAUCUGGAGGGCCAAGGAAAGACAGGAGGGGAGAACAAAGGGAUGAUAGCUCACAAAAGCAAAAAGCGAAAGCUCCCCACAUCUUGGGGAGCUACCAAAUAAAGCUACCAAAUCAUCAUCACUUUCUCAGUGCAAGAGCAUAAAGCUCUGACCCAGAGAGACUGUUUUCUAAGGAGAGCAGAGAACUGUCUGGCGCCUCCAAGCACAGCCCAAGUCACUCUGGCUCCAUUAGUAAUGCUUAGGUGUGUCAUCUUAGGGUCCGAGGAACAAAUGACUUCCCAGAGCCAGUGGCUGCUAAAAAAACAAUGUGUGUUACAAAGUCACACAGCUUAUGUUGGCACACACUGAAAGUAUAGACUGAGCUAUAUAAAACCAUGUACUUGUAGACAGAAGAACUGGGUUGUGUCCUUUUGUGGCCCUAGCUAAGGAAGAUACUUGGAUGGCUGAACAUGGGACAUCUCCAAGAACUGCUGGGUGCUCCAGGCCUGCCUGCUGGGCUUUGCCCUCCGGGUGACCUGGGAGACUUCCUUGGGUCCCCAUUCUGGGGGAAUACUGUUUUAUCUGCCGCAAUCUUAAGAGCCAAGCAGUGGAAAAGAAGGUGAAUUCAGUGUGGGGAUCCCCUGGGAAAGGCACCAAGGGGUUAGGAUGGAAGAGAAAAGGACAAAGAGUGGGGAGAUAAGCAGCAGCAGGACUUUGUGGGGAUGCAGGUUCAAUUUCGCAGAUUCCGUUCGUGCUCCAGCUCCCUCCCCAGACACUGGGGAGCCCUGUGCUGGUGUUGGAACCCCUGCCUCUGCCUGCCCAGUAGCUCAAAGCCCUGUGGGGCGAGUGCCUUGAUCUCCCUCUCCAGGCUGGGUGCUGAGCAUUUAUCUGUGCUCAUGUGUGUAGGGGGGAAGUCUCCAUGUUUGAAGACCUUGUUUUCCCAACUACAGAGAAAACAGCCCCCAAUUUCUUUCCUGAGAUUCUAAUUCCUCCACAUGCUGCCAGUUCCCAGGGCCCAAACCGCUGGGGAGGUGUGGGGUCUGGUGACGGAAUGGCGGUGAGGGGAUGGCUGCUGUGCUGUCUUCAGACCUUACCCAGUGCCUGGGAGUCCCUCCCUGCAGGGGGUUGGUUGGUACUCUGCAGGCAGCAGAACAGGGGCCUGGGGAACAGGGCAGUGACUUCUCUGGGCUGAGGCCAUGUUCCCCUGGUUGCUCCCAGUGCCUUUAUCUCCAGAGAGGCCACAGCAGUCAUGGUUGUGGCGGAGAAUAAAUAGUUUUGCUAAGUACCAGCUCUCCAGCUCCUGAGGGAGGGUCAGGGAGUCCGGGGUCUGGAGGAGGUGACAGCCACGGGUCUGCCUUCAGUCAUGGUUGGAACGGCAAACAGGAUGACCAACACCAUUUAACUGAGGUCUAAAUGGCACCUCCAGCACCUCCCUGGGUGAGGCAGUCCGAGCCCGUGAAGCUGACUUUAUCCGGGCACUUGUUCUGCAAGGGAAACAUGGACAGGUAACCAGGCGCUCAGCCCGCUGGCAUGAUAACCACAAGAUGGCGCUCCAAGAAAACGAACCUCAGGGAAGACCAGAACUGUCCCUAGGGGACAUAUCUGUGCCACAGGUCCUCUCAGAUGUGCACAGCUUCAUAGGAGAGGCAGGCCAGGGUUCCACCUUCCUAGACAGCUGACCCAACACUGUCCCUCACCUAGGCCCCAAGGGGAUCCUGUGACCAGGCUGCAGCUGGCCCUACUCUAUGGCCCCAAAUAAGCAAAAGUCACUCACCAUUCUCACCUCCUGGGGGGUGGGUAGAGUGAGGGAGUUGAGCCUUGCUGGCUGGCAACAAUGGCUGUAGAAGAAAGCCCUGAGCAGGCAGGAGGACAGGUUAGUGCGGUGCUUACAAAACAGACCACAAUCAAACCCAAGCAAACCAGAAACUUCCCCCGCUUUUUUUUUUUAAACCAGUGGUGGCCUGAAACUGGGGUCUCAUGCAUGCUAGUUAAGUGCUAUACUACUGAGCUACAUUCCCAGCCCUUUUUAUUUUUAAAUUUUUGGACAGGGCCUCCUCCCUAAGUUGCCCAGGCUGGCUGUGAAUCUGCAAUCCUGCUUCACCCUCCCAAGCGGCUGAGAUUUAAUAGGUCUGUACCACCAUGCCUGCUAGAAACCUCCCCUUCAUAUUCCCCUUUCUCCAGCUGGCUGGGUGUGGGGAGCAGUUUCCACUUAAAUUCCUAGCUCUAUGGAGUUCUGAGGUGCUGACAAAAGAAACAGAUCUACUUCUUGGCCAGACAAGUAGAUCUACUACUUGGUGGCCGGGGACAGAUAGUGUGGCUCUGCUACUCAGCUGCUUGUUUCUCUUUCGCUUUGGAAACACCUGAUUCUUAUUCUUUGAGUAUCAAAGCCAAGAUUCUGGAGGAGUUUGAGAGUCCUAAAACUCCAAGGGAGGAAAUAAAUGUCAUAUGCUUGAAUGACUAUCUGCAGGAGGCUAGGACUUUGGAUAGAUCAGAAGCUUAGGAAAAAAAGAUAGGAGACCAAGAAAAAUGGAUGGCAGGGACGAGAGGCUUACCUGCUGCAUAGGGUAGGUUGUACUGUGUGGGGAGCAGCGAGUACCCCAAGUGAUGGUGGUGGUGGUGUGUGGACAUCAGGCGCUGGGAAGGGGAGGUUCGAGGUCGGUCAACACUCCGUUCAGCUCCUCCUGCUCCCCCGACACUGCUGCAACUGCUGCCACCUCCCACCACCCCACAGCCUCCCCGAUCUCGCUCCUGAGAAGUUUUAUCGCUUAUCUGGAAAGGAGACACACAGAAGCACUGUGGUGACACACAUGAGGGAGGCCUGGGGGCUGAUGUGAAAUCAGCUGAGCUGCACUGUGGUCAGGACCUGAACUGGCCCACUUUCUCCAAGACCCCAGAUGUAACCUUGUCUCGUCUCUGGGGAACAAAGAGGGUCCUCUCUGUUUCCCUUACCGUGGGUGACUUGCUCUUGUAGUGGCUAGCGUGCUGCUGCAAGAUGUCCAGGGCUUUGGACUCUGAGCUGGAUUUACAACUGACACUGGGGCUGGCUC
rnacentral:lncRNA from 1 species